rnacentral:rRNA from 1 species
CCUACGGGAGGCAGCAGUGAGGAAUAUUGGUCAAUGGGCGUAAGCCUGAACCAGCCAAGUCGCGUGAGGGAUGAAGGUACUAUGGAUCGUAAACCUCUUUUAUAAGGGAAUAAAGUGUGGGACGUGUCCUCGUUUGUAUGUACCUUAUGAAUAAGGAUCGGCUAACUCCGUGCCAGCAGCCGCGGUAAUACGGAGGAUCCGAGCGUUAUCCGGAUUUAUUGGGUUUAAAGGGUGCGUAGGCGGUCUUUUAAGUCAGCGGUGAAAGUCCGUGGCUCAACCAUAGCAUUGCCGUUGAAACUGGGAGGCUUGAGUAUGUGUGAGGCAGGCGGAAUGCGUGGUGUAGCGGUGAAAUGCUUAGAUAUCGCGCAGAACCCCGAUUGCGAAGGUAGCAUGCCGGGCCAUGACUGACGCUGAAGCACGAAAGCGUAGGGAGCGAACGGGAUUAGAUACCCUUGUAGUC